UACGGAGGGUGCAAGCGUUGUCCGGAUUUAUUGGGUUUAAAGGGUGCGUAGGCGGCCCGGUAAGUCAGUGGUGAAAGCCUCCAGCUCAACUGGAGAACUGCCAUUGAUACUGUCGGGCUUGAGUACAGACGAGGUAGGCGGAAUUGAUUGUGUAGCGGUGAAAUGCAUAGAUACAAUCAAGAACUCCGAUUGCGUAGGCAGCUUACUAGGCUGUAACUGACGCUCAGGUGCGAAAGCGUGGGGAGCAAACAGG
rnacentral:rRNA from 1 species